rnacentral:rRNA from 1 species
UACGAAGGGGGCUAGCGUUGCUCGGAAUCACUGGGCGUAAAGGGUGCGUAGGCGGGGCUUUAAGUCAGGGGUGAAAUCCUGGAGCUCAACUCCAGAACUGCCUUUGAUACUGAAGAUCUUGAGUCCGGGAGAGGUGAGUGGAACUGCGAGUGUAGAGGUGAAAUUCGUAGAUAUUCGCAAGAACACCAGUGGCGAAGGCGGCUCGCUGGCCCGAUACUGACGCUGAGGCACGAAAGCGUGGGGAGCAAACAGG